rnacentral:rRNA from 1 species
UACGUAGGGUGCAAGCGUUAAUCGGAAUUACUGGGCGUAAAGCGUGCGCAGGCGGUUAUGCAAGACAGAUGUGAAAUCCCCGGGCUCAACCUGGGAACUGCAUUUGUGACUGCAUGGCUAGAGUACGGCAGAGGGGAUGGAAUUCCGCGUGUAGCAGUGAAAUGCGUAGAUAUGCGGAGGAACACCGAUGGCGAAGGCAAUCCCCUGGGCCUGUACUGACGCUCAUGCACGAAAGCGUGGGGAGCAAACAGG